UGCUAGAGUUCCAUGCGCACGUAUUGAUGCAAAGUCUAUUGAUAUGUGCGUGAGGAGUGUUGGACUGUACUUCGGUAAAAAUUUGGGAUCUUUACGCUCAACUUGAAAAACCGUAAAACCGCUCUCGACACAAAAACCCUAAAAACUUAACGUAGGAAUAGAUCAACUUCUAUCAUUUCAUCACUGGCAUCUGCCUUCAGUGAACGUUAGCCGAAAAAACGUAACAUUUAUAUUUCGAAAAAUUGCCUACGACCAAUCUAGAUGUCAAUAAAGAUCGUGAGUCCGAGCUGAACUUGAUUAUCAUUGUACCACAAUAAUUGUAGUACACUCGAGCUAUCAAUUUAAUAUCACUCGAGAUGUCGAUCUGUCACUGUCUAGAUUUUGACAGAAAUUCGAUGUUCGUUGAAUUCCUUGUUUGGACUUGAUAAGGCACUUAGUUAUUGAAAAGAGGUGGACUGAUUGGUGGAAUGUAGGAUGAUUCAAUUGUAUUGCAAGAAUCCACACUAACACUCUGUAAAUGUAACGAAUGGAGAUAUUUUCAUCGUCUUUCAACUCGGAUGAGGAUCACGAAAAUUGCUCUGUCUUCCACGAGGUUUCCAGAGAAACUAAUCUUCUCUUUCCUUUUUGGUAAAAUUUUUGGAAAAGCAGGGAGUCCUCGGAGGUGCCCCUUGUUUUUGUCACCAUAUAUCCCUUCUCGAAUUGACAAACUGAGCAAUAAACUGAUUUCGGGAAUUUUCAAACCCUUCUGGACACCCAAAGGCUGACAAAUCCAUGAUUUAUAUAGAAACUUCUUCGAUAGUAAUUUCUGAUGGAAGAUUUCUCCUGCCUCUGCCGCUCGUCCUUCUCUUUUCUGUUGCUCUAAUCAUUAUGACGAUACCCGAAAAAUAAAAAUUCAUCUUCAAAUUCUCCUUCUUCGCGUUGGCGAUGAAACAAUAAUAACAAGUAAGUCGAAAACUUAAAUGUUCACGAAUACAAUGCUCCCCUCUAAAAGCAAUGACUUUCAGAAAGCAACACUCCGUUGCGGUUCACGUGAAAUUUGACUAGUAAUCGUCCUGAAAAAACAUCAAACAUGAUUCGAUGAUUGAUCUGAUGAUUUUAUUCAUGCGUGUUCUUCUCCUUUAUUGGGGAAAAAACAAUCGAACCCAACUAACUCGAAAAUUGCUGUUCGGUCAACCAUUAUUUUCACAUCGACAAUCUCAGCGAACGGCGAAUAAUAUAAUAUCAAAAUUCUUUCAUUCUCCCAAAGUAGUUGAAAUGUAUAACAAUAAGUCCUGUAAUUGUUUUGGAAGCCUUGUAUUUGACAAAUUUGUCGACCCUCUAAUUUUAAUUGCAAAUUAUCUACAAUGUUAUAAAAACGAACAAACGAUGUUUUCUAUAUCAUGUGUGUGUGUGUAUGUGGGAGUUAUAUUGUUUGAAUAGUGUAAUUGGGGAGGGUAAGGUGGGUAAGAAUUCUCUAGAACAUUUGUAAAGAGGACGAAUAUUAGGGAUUAUUUUUCCCACCCAAAUUUCAGCCAAUAGAAUUGCACCAUUUGUUGAUAUUUUGUAUAGCCUACCUCGAAUAUCAGCGAUUAUUUUUCCCAUCCAAAUCUUGGCCAAUAGGAUUGCACCAUUCGACGUUAUUUUGUAUAGUCAACACGGUAUUUCAGCGGAUAUUCUUGGAAAUUUCACUGGAAAUUUUGCAUGUUGAUAUAUAUAAAAAAAAACAAAUGUUGAAGUAACCCUCAAUUGUAUCUGACAGAUUAAAUGGCAAUUCGUUGAAAAUUAUGUCUCAUGGUGCAAUUCUAUCGGCCAAGAUUUGGAUGCAAAAAAUAAUCCCCCGAAUACCACACGAACUUCGAAAUUAUCUGAUAUUUCCCUCAAGGUUCCCUGCAAACAAAUAAGCUCGUCAAGUUUUCCAGAAAAAUCACUCGCGCUUCGCGCUCGUGAUUUUUAAACUGGAAAACUUGACACGUUCAUUUGUUUGCAACGAACCUAUCGGGAAAUAUCCGAUAAUUUCGGAGCUCUUGUGGUAUUACAUGCGAUAAUUUUUUGAUAAUUUUGAUAAACAAACGACACCUGACCAAAUAAACUUCUUUUCAUGUCAUGGCACAAUUCUCUUGGCCGAAAUUUGGAUAGGAAAAAUAAUCGCCUGAAUACCACUCGAGCUUCAAAAUUAUAGAAUAUUUCCCUCUAGGUUCCCUGCAUACAAAUAAAGUCGUCAAGUUUUUCAGGAAAAAUCACUCGUGAUUUUUUAGCCUGAAAAACUUGACUCCUUCAUUUGUUUGCAACGAAUCUAUCGGGAAAUAUUCGAUAAUUUUGAAGCACUUGUGGUAUUAUAUGUGAAUAUAGUUAUAAAAGUAAGACAACAUAAAUAUAGAGAUAAAUAGCUAUAGUGAAGAAUUUCCCGAAAACGACCCUUGGGGCAAUAUGUGUGGUAUUCAAACAAUAAACGUGGGCCAGUUUGUGUCUCAUGUAAAGACAAUUGGGUAUUUAGGGAUGAGCAAAAAAAUGAAUGAGUUAGUUCAUUACGAGAAUUUGAGUUAUCGAGUCGUGAUGUUGUGAAAUAAUAUUUGAUGCAUCGAAACAUUUUUGCUUAUUCAAUAAAUUAAUCAUAUCUUUAAAUGAUGAGUAUGAAACACUGGAAUUUCCUAAUUUAAAUCGAAUCGGGCCAUAAGGCAAAAAUGUCGAAUAGCUAGGGUGGCCUUAAUGACACUGUAAAUAACCCUAUGUCUUAACCCUCUUAGUGGCUUCGGUUUUAAAAUAAUUCCUCUACUCAGAACUCCAUCCGUGACCUGUAAUUUUUACAGUGGAAAAUCUCCAAAUACUAAAAAUGGCUUACGACAUCGCAAAGUGAUUUUUUUGGAAAAAUCCCAUUGAUUUUCAUUCGUCGCGAUCAAUCGAAUAAAGUCGAUACCGGGAAUGAUUGACGUUCGGCAAAUGACGUUAUUCAUAUCUCGUUGAGGCCUCGUUAUGAUGUAGUUUAUUGUAAGGAAUUUAAGAAGAUGUUGGAAAAUUAGAACACAGCUCUUUUGUUUAUCUUCAAAAAUCACUCGACAAGGUUUGUAUUGAAUUGAUUUAAUACUCUGUUCGAUUGAACACUUUGGAGUUGUAAGCUCUAGAGUUCUAACCUACACAGAACGGUAUUUUCAAUUCUGCUACACGC